UGCAUGGCAUAGCUGAGUCGGGAGUGCGUGAGAUUUUUAAUCUCAAGGUUGUGAGUUUGAGUCCCACAUUGGGUAAA